GAUGAAGAACGCAGCGAAAUGCGAUACGUAAUGUGAAUUGCAGAAUUCAGUGAAUCAUCGAGUCUUUGAACGCACAUUGCGCCCCCUGGUAUUCCGGGGGGCAUGCCAGUCCGAGCGUCAUUGCUGCCCUCAAGCACGGCUUGUGUGUUGGGCCCCGUCCUCCGAUUCCGGGGGACGGGCCCGAAAGGCAGCGGCGGCACCGCGUCCGGUCCUCGAGCGUAUGGGGCUUUGUCACCCGCUCUGUAGGCCCGGCCGGCGCUUGCCGAUCAACCCAAAUUUUUAUCCAGGUUGACCUCGGAUCAGGUAGGGAUACCCGCUGAACUUAAGCAUAUCAAUAAGCGGAGGA
rnacentral:misc_RNA from 1 species